UACGUAGGCAGCAAGCGUUGUUCGGAGUUACUGGGCGUAAAGGGUGUGUAGGCGGUUCUUUAAGUUUGGUGUGAAAUCUCCCGGCUCAACUGGGAGGUGCGCCGAAUACUGAGGGACUAGAGUACGGGAGAGGAAAGUGGAAUUCCUGGUGUAGCGGUGAAAUGCGUAGAUAUCAGGAGGAACACCGGUGGUGUAGACGGCUUUCUGGACCGUAACUGACGCUGAGACACGAAAGCGUGGGUAGCAAACAGG
rnacentral:rRNA from 1 species